rfam:Rhodomicrobium vannielii ATCC 17100, complete genome.
UCGCGGGACACUUCCCCCCACCGGGAAGCAACUAUCUGAAAGGGUAGACCGC